UGGGGAAUCUUGCGCAAUGGACGAAAGUCUGACGCAGCGACGCCGCGUGGGUGAUGAAGGCCUUCGGGUUGUAAAGCCCUGUGGGGAGGGACGAAUAAGUCUGACCUAAUACGUCAGGCGAUGACGGUACCUCUUUAGCAAGCACCGGCUAACUCUGUGCCAGCAGCCGCGGUAAGACAGAGGGUGCAAACGUUGUUCGGAAUUACUGGGCGUAAAGCGCGUGUAGGCGGUCGGGCAAGUCGGAUGUGAAAGCCCAGGGCUCAACCCUGGAAGUGCACUCGAUACUGCUCGGCUAGAGUCCCGGAGAGGAUGGUGGAACUCUCGGUGUAGAGGUGAAAUUCGUAGAUAUCGAGAAGAACACCGGUGGCGAAGGCGGCCAUCUGGACGGUGACUGACGCUGAGACGCGAAAGCGUGGGGAGCAAACAG
rnacentral:rRNA from 1 species